rnacentral:rRNA from 1 species
AUGCUCAUGUGGCCAAAUUCGCUCUCCUUGAACUACUCUGGCAAUGGCCUCCCUCUAUAUUCCUGCCUCUCUGCGCACUGCUUCUUAUCCAUCCCUGUGCGGCCAUGCGCCAUGGCUUCUACCGGCUGCUGCAAGGGAUGGCCGGAGAGUGCACUGCUGCGGGAGCCGACCGAAUACGCCGCUGUUGCACUGCCAUACGUCUCUGCUGCUAGUAGCAGGGAGACAGCGAACUACACAAGCAACAGAGCAACAAUGAGAUCCACGAGCCCUGACGACAACGGCAAGCUGGAGUCUCCCCUGUCGAGCUCAACCAGGAAUAGGACGACAACGAUGUCUCAGAGCAGCACGGUCGACCUCGGCGCCCUCCUGCCCGGUGAAGCCCCACUAGCAAAACUCAAGAUGCUGUCCAACUAA